GACGAACGCUGGCGGCGUGCCUAAUACAUGCAAGUUGAGCGCUGAAGGUUGGUACUUGUACCAACUGGAUGAGCAGCGAACGGGUGAGUAACGCGUGGGGAAUCUGCCUUUGAGCGGGGGACAACAUUUGGAAACGAAUGCUAAUACCGCAUAAAAACUUUAAACACAAGUUUUAAGUUUGAAAGAUGCAAUUGCGUCACUCAAAGAUGAUCCCGCGUUGUAUUAGCUAGUUGGUGGGGUAAAGGCUCACCAAGGCGUUGAUACAUAGCCGACCUGAGAGGGUGACAGGCCAAAGUGGGACGGAGAUACGGCCCACACUCCUACGGGAGGAAGAAGUGGGGAAUAGUGCAAAAUGGGCGGAAGCCGGAUGCAGCAACGCCGCGUGCGGGAUGACGGCAGUCGGGUUGUAAACCGCGUUCGCCUGUGACGAAGCGUGAGUGACGGUAAUGGGUAAAGAGGCACCGGCUAACUACGUG
rnacentral:rRNA from 1 species